CAUCUUUGAAUAACAUAAAUAGUACUUAAGUACUAUAGAGUUUAACACUCCCUCAAAGCUA
rnacentral:tRNA from 1 species